AUUGAACGCUGGCGGCAUGCUUUACACAUGCAAGUCGAACGGUAACAGGCCGCAAGGUGCUGACGAGUGGCGAACGGGUGAGUAAUGCAUCGGAACGUGCCCAGUCGUGGGGGAUAACUACUCGAAAGAGUAGCUAAUACCGCAUACGAUCUAUGGAUGAAAGCGGGGGACCGUAAGGCCUCACGCGAUUGGAGCGGCCGAUGUCAGAUUAGGUAGUUGGUGGGGUAAAGGCUCACCAAGCCAACGAUCUGUAGCUGGUCUGAGAGGACGACCAGCCACACUGGGACUGAGACACGGCCCAGACUCCUACGGGAGGCAGCAGUGGGGAAUUUUGGACAAUGGGCGCAAGCCUGAUCCAGCAAUGCCGCGUGCAGGAAGAAGGCCUUCGGGUUGUAAACUGCUUUUGUACGGAACGAAACGGCUCUGGUUAAUACCCGGGGCUAAUGACGGUACCGUAAGAAUAAGCACCGGCUAACUACGUG
rnacentral:rRNA from 1 species